CCUACGGGUGGCUGCAGUAGGGAAUAUUGCGCAAUGGGGGAAACCCUGACGCAGCAACGCCGCGUGGAGGAUGAAGGUUUUCGGAUUGUAAACUUCUUUUGUUAGAGAAGAUCAAGACGGUAUCUAACGUAAAAGCACCGGCUAACUCCGUGCCAGCAGCCGCGGUAAUACGGAGGGUGCAAGCGUUACUCGGAAUCACUGGGCGGAAAGAGCGCGUAGGCGGGAUAGCAAGUCAGAUGUGAAAUCCUAUGGCUUAACCAUAGAAGUGCAUUUGAAACUGUUAUUCUAGAGUGUGGGAGAGGUAAGUGGAAUUCUUGGUGUAGGGGUAAAAUCCGUAGAGAUCAGGAGGAAUACUCGUGGCGAAGGCGACCUGCUAGAACAUAACUGACGCUGAGGCGCGAAAGCGUGGGGAGCAAACAGGAUUAGAUACCCUAGUAGUC
rnacentral:rRNA from 1 species